rnacentral:rRNA from 1 species
UGGGGAAUAUUGCACAAUGGACGGAAGUCUGAUGCAGCAACGCCGCGUGCGGGAUGACGGCCUUCGGGUUGUAAACCGCUUUUUCUCAUGACGAAGUUUUUUGACGGUAGUGGGGGAAGAAGCACCGGCUAACUACGUGCCAGCAGCCGCGGUGAUACGUAGGGUGCGAGCGUUGUCCGGAAUUAUUGGGCGUAAAGAGCUUGUAGGCGGUUUGUCGCGUCGAUAGUGUAAACACGCAGCUUAACUGUGUGCCUGCUGUCGAUACGGGCUGACUAGAGGAGGGUAGGGGAGAAUGGAAUUCCCGGUGGGGCGGUGGAAUGCGCAGAUAUCGGGAGGAACACCAGUGGCGAAGGCGGUUCUCUGGACCUUUCCUGACGCUGAGAAGCGAAAGCGUGGGUAGCAAACAGG